rnacentral:rRNA from 1 species
CUACGGGACGCUGCAGUAGGGAAUAUUGGACAAUGGGGGAAACCCUGAUCCAGCAAUGCCGCGUGUGUGAAGAAGGCCUGCGGGUUGUAAAGCACUUUCGGUUGGGAGGACUGCUUCUAGCACUAAUAUUGUUGGAAGUUGACGUUACCUUCAGAAGAAGCACCGGCUAACUCCGUGCCAGCAGCCGCGGUAAUAUCGGAGGGUGCAAGCGUUAAUCGGAAUUACUGGGCGUAAAGCGCGCGUAGGCGGCUAGAUCAGUCGGGUGUGAAAGCCCCGGGCUUAACCUGGGAACUGCAUCCGAUACUGUCUAGCUUGAGUACAGGAGAGGAGAGUGGAAUUCCACAUGUAGCGGUGAAAUGCGUAGAUAUGUGGAGGAACACCAAUGGCGAAGGCAGCUCUCUGGCCUGAUACUGACGCUGAGGUGCGAAAGCGUGGGGAGCAAACAGGAUUAGAUACCCCUGUAGUC